rnacentral:lncRNA from 1 species
GCAUAAGGAGGGCUUGAUCUAGAGACCUUAAUAUCUUGAUUGAUAACUCAGAAGAUUAGGAUAGGUGGAGAUGAGCCGCAUAAGGUAAAGGCAGCACAGGAGAAGAAAGGCUGCCAUGGAGUCCUAGUCCAAUAAGGACUCCUCCUUAUCAAUGAUUUCUGUCUAUAUCUAAUAGCCCCAAGGUAUCACAUCUCUAGCCCUAAUUCUUAGAGGCUUAAAAAUGGAAGAUCAGAUCUGAAGGUACAUCUCAGGUCUCUGGAAGUGGGGUAGAUGCGAACUAGGUCACUGCUGCAGGGUUCUUAGUACGCAGUGAUCUAAGACAUGAUGUUUGCUGCUCUUAGAGAGUCUGGAUCAUCAUGGACUCUUACAGAGGGCUUUAUCGUAGGUCUCCUCAGAUCCAUGCAAGUGCACGAUGGUUCUAACAAGUUUAUCAUAAACUAUUUGUAUAAAUCAGGAAGGGAUUGCAGGAUCAUAUCCAUUAGCAAUUCCUUGUGCAUGGUCUUGUCGAGCUCUUCGAGCUCCUUAAUAUUUCUGAUUAUUAUCAAAUAGUGAUCAUGGACAAACUAUUUAUCAUGCAUCUUAUGCACUGUGCAAUUCUGAUCAUCUCACAAUACUUUUAGAUGAGUUAGUAUAUCAUUGGCAGUUCAUAUGUCCUCAUGACGAUGUUGGAGUUC